UGGGAACUCGCCCAGCACCCACCGGCGAGGUCGAAUCGACCUCGCCGGUUCUGGAAAUUUAAUGCGUCGUCCAUAGGACGACGCAUGGGUGCUGGGAACUCGCCCAGCAUCCACCGGCGAGGUCGAUUCGACCUCGCCGGUUCUGGAAAUUUAAUGCGUCGUCCAUAGGACGACGCAUGGGUGCUGGGAACUCGCCUAGCACCCACCGGCCGGUUCUGGAAAUUUACCUUGUUGAAAAUGUUUACCUUGUUGGAGAGAGGAAGUUGAGGUAGUCGGAAGAGAGAUCGGAAGAAAUGUCGGAAGUUGGAAGUUGGAGAAGUUUUUUUUUUUUAAGUAGUUAGAAAUGAAAAUCAGAAGUAAAAGAAGUGGGAAAAGUAGAAAAGAAGUGGGAAAAGUGGAAAUAUUGG
rnacentral:lncRNA from 1 species